ACAUGCAAGUCGAGCGGACCCUUCGGGGUCAGCGGCGGACGGGUGAGUAACACGUGGGUAAUCUGCCCAACUGACCGGAAUAACGCCUGGAAACGGGUGCUAAUGCCGGAUAGGCAACGAGGAGGCAUCUCCUUGUUGGGAAAGGUGCAACUGCACCGCAGAUGGAGGAGCCCGCGGCGCAUUAGCUAGUUGGUGGGGUAACGGCCUACCAAGGCGACGAUGCGUAGCCGACCUGAGAGGGUGGACGGCCACACUGGGACUGAGACACGGCCCAGACUCCUACGGGAGGCAGCAGUAGGGAAUCUUCCGCAAUGGGCGCAAGCCUGACGGAGCAACGCCGCGUGAGCGAAGAAGGCCUUCGAGUUGUAAAGCUCAGUCACUCGGGAAGAGCGGACGAAGGAGUGGAAAGCCUUCGUCGAGACGGUACCGAGAGAGGAAGCCCCGGCUAACUACGUGCCAGCAGCCGCGGUAAUACGUAGGGGGCAAGCGUUGUCCGGAAUCACUGGGCGUAAAGCGUGCGUAGGCGGUCGCGUGUGUCUGGGGUGAAAGUCCAGGGCUCAACUCUGGGAUUGCCUUGGAAACUGCGUGACUUUGAGUACUGGAGAGGCAAGGGGAAUUCCGCGUGUAGCGGUGGAAUGCGU
rnacentral:rRNA from 1 species